AUCCCCAGGCUGCAAACAAAUAGCCUAGAAUUUCCAGCUAAAUAUUAAUGGGAAAUGACUGAAUUAGUUAGAUUAGUUGAAUUUCCAAAGAUGGAAAUCAGGUUUGAAAAUGUCAAAUGAAUAAGAUUAGAUAGAUAUUUACUCUAAAAGAACAUUAGUAUUGUAGCACUAUAUUGCUGGUUCUAGGAAAACUUACUUUGAAUGAUCACCCAGUCACAUUAAAGGUAAGUCAUUGAAUGGAUAUCAAAUAUUGGUUUUGCAAAUGGAGAAUGCGAAACCUCUUUGACAAAGGUGUGAAAGUGUGUGCACACCUACAGCAAGUUAGUGUUUUACCCAUUUUCCAGGAUUUCUAUUGUGGAUCCAUACCUUAUGAAGAAAGUGAUGGAUAAGAAAGAUGGUGAUGCCAUUUGCAGCAAAACAGAAAACCCAUAUGAAUAGGAGGGUAUACUCAACAUUGAAAAUCAGUAUAUUUGCACAAGAUGAAAUCUACUAUUGUGACAAUUCAACAAGAGGAGGACCUGCAUAGUUAAAACCUACAGUAUGAUGUAUUGCAAGAACAGAGGACUUGUAUAGAUAAAAACAAGUGUUACCAGAUGUAAAAGCAGAGGAUUUGGAUAAGCUGAUAUCAUUUGCUUUGUUUUGAUAGUCUACAAAUAUGACAUUGCAAAACAAAUGCAAGAACACUCGAGCUGCAUAGGUGAGCCAAUAAGAAUGAAGAUCAUAAUGAAAAUGGAAAUUAGAUUUGUGCAAGAUAAGAGCAACAAAUGACUUCAUGCAACAACACAGGACUUAAACUAAUCAUCUCUAUUUUGGUCAAACCAUAAGAGUUAGAGGAGAGCAUUCUGAAUAUGAAAAUCAGUAGGUUUGCAGGUAACACAUGGAAAAAGUUUGGUUUCAAGUAACCUAAUGCAACCAUGGUACCAGUGUCAUUUUGGCUUCCUGUUUAAGUUCCAUUUCUGCCCAUGAAAAUAUGAGCAGUAUGUCAGCAAACAAUCGUCUUGUUCUGGCUCACGAAAUAGCAUGCUUAGACCUUGCUAUGAAUCAGGUCUUGCACACGGAAAAGGCUAGUGGAGCACUGGAUUGAGGGCAUCAACAAUUGACUUGCGUAGGUUAACCCCAAUGAUCUGGAUUAUGUUCCAGUCCCAUCGGCAUGAACAUGCCGGCAUCAGGCAAAAUGGCAGUGGGCCGGGUGAUGCCAACUUGCCAUCUUCAGCAAAGGCCAAGGUGAUGGAAAAGACUUGGCACCAGUGCACAAACCUCUUGGUGUGAUUACUCAUUUGGUGCUUAGAAGGGGGCUUUAGAAUUAUUCUCAUCGAUAAACAAAUGUGGAAUGUAAGAUGAGCAAGACAUGAUUGGAAGAGCACAGGCUCCAGGGAGGAUGCCACUUCCAUGCUGUGCACCGUAUUCCUGGCCGCUGCGACCACAGGAGUGGAUUUCCAUAGUUGAGUUUCAGGAGUGUAUUCUAAACAAGGAAACCAGUAGGCUUGCAGAAGGUGUGAACCCAUCAGAGUUGGAGUACCUACUGAUCAUGAGAAUUGCUAAAGCCUGAAAAUGUGAUUUAGUGGAUCAGCAGUAAACUUGAGUGAACCCGUUUAGAUUUGAAGAUCACACUGAACAUGAGAUUCAGUACGUUUGCAUGAGAUAAAGCCUACAAAUGUGAUUUAGUGUAACAGCAAUGGACUUGAGUAGAUGUAACCUGCGAAUGUGAUUGCUAUAAGGAUAGGAGUGUGAUUACCAUCCACUUCAUACUGAUGUAGGCUAGAGAUGGUACGUGGGGCGAGAAAAACAGGCCUGCAAAGAUGAAACCUGCACCAAUUAAAUGGUUUUGAGGGGGGAACAAGAAAAUAUACAGUGUUAGCACAUGGGUGUUUUAUGAAGAUUGUUGCGCAGGACUUCAUGGUGGUCGUCAGAGGUACAUCAUUGUGGUGCACAUAAAACUGAAAUAUCCUCAAUGAGAAGAAAAUGUACUUCAUGGAACGUUAGCAAAUACAUCCAUAUUUGAUGAUAAUGCAAAUAAAUUGAGCCUUCUUUGAAA
rnacentral:lncRNA from 1 species